rnacentral:rRNA from 1 species
GAAUCAGUACGCCGGUCAUGCUUCGGUACGUACUGGUAUAAUCGGUUUCUCCUUUCUGACGAACUUUAAUGCCAUUAAUUUGGUGUUUUAGGGAAUCAGGACUGUUACUUUGAAAAAAUUAGAGUGUUUAAAGCAGGCUCACGCUUGAAUACAUUAGCAUGGAAUAACGGAAUAGGACGUUUGAUUCUAUUUUGUUGGUUUCUAGGAUCGACGUA